rnacentral:rRNA from 16 species
UUAAGUGGUAGGGGAGCAUUGUGUAAGCCUGUGAAGGUGUGUUGUAAAGCAUGCUGGAGGUAUCACAAGAGCGAAUGCUGACGUGAGUAACGACAAUGCGAGUGAAAAGCUCGCACGCCGGAAGACCAAGGGUUCCAGUCCAACGUUAAUCGGGGCUGGGUGAGUCGACCCCUAAGGCGAGGCCGAAAGGCGUAGUCGAUGGCAAACGGGUUAAUAUUCCCGUACUUCAC